rnacentral:rRNA from 1 species
AUGAACGCUAGCUACAGGCUUAACACAUGCAAGUCGAGGGCAGCAUGACGAUAGCUUGCUAUUGUCGAUGGCGACCGGCGCACGGGUGAGUAACGCGUAUCCAACCUGCCCACCACUUGGGGAUAACCUUGCGAAAGUAAGACUAAUACCCGAUGAUAUCUCUAUAAGACAUCUGAAAGGGAUUUAAAGAUUUAUCGGUGAUGGAUGGGGAUGCGUCUGAUUAGCUAGUUGGCGGGGCAACGGCCCACCAAGGCGACGAUGCGUAGGGGUUCUGAGAGGAAGGUCCCCCACACUGGUACUGAGACACGGUCCAAACUCCUACGGGAGGCAGCAGUGAGGAAUAUUGGUCAAUGGGCGAGAGCCUGAACCAGCCAAGUAGCGUGUGGGACGAAUGCCCUAUGGGUUGUAAACCACUUUUGCAGGAGGGUAAAAUGCUUCACGUGUGGAGUAUUGCAAGUAUCCUGCGAAUAAGGACCGGCUAAUUCCGUG